rnacentral:rRNA from 1 species
UGGCUCAGAUUGAACGCUGGCGGCAGGCCUAACACAUGCAAGUCGAGCGGAUGAGAAGAGCUUGCUCUUCGAUUAAGCGGCGGACGGGUGAGUAAUGCCUAGGAAUCUGCCUGGUAGUGGGGGACAACGUUUCGAAAGGAACGCUAAUACCGCAUACGUCCUACGGGAGAAAGCAGGGGACCUUCGGGCCUUGCGCUAUCAGAUGAGCCUAGGUCGGAUUAGCUAGUUGGUGAGGUAAUGGCUCACCAAGGCUACGAUCCGUAACUGGUCUGAGAGGAUGAUCAGUCACACUGGAACUGAGACACGGUCCAGACUCCUACGGGAGGCAGCAGUGGGGAAUAUUGGACAAUGGGCGAAAGCCUGAUCCAGCCAUGCCGCGUGUGUGAAGAAGGUCUUCGGAUUGUAAAGCACUUUAAGUUGGGAGGAAGGGCAGUAAGCUAAUACUUUGCUGUUUUGACGUUACCGACAGAAUAAGCACCGGCUAACUCUGUG